GGGACGGACUCGGGGUUGUCCGCCGACUGAGCAGGCCCGGCAGCUGCCGCCGCUACAGCGGCCCCGCCGCAGCCACCGGCCUUACAUAGGGCGCGAGGCCGAGGAGGGUUCUGGGGUUGGACCGCAAGGCCCGCCCCGCCGCCCGCAGAGCGGCGCCAACAGGGGCGGAGCUGGGGCCGCGCGUGACGGCGGGUGCGCCGCCCCGGCCUCUGCGAGCACCUGGGACUCAGUCCCGAGGCUCCAACCAGAGUAGCCCUGGCUGCCUUUCUGAAGUCGGCGGGACUCGUAACCUCGGUGUCUGAGCCAAGCUGACCCAGCCCGGAGCCCGGGGAAGGGACGCGUUGGCGAUCGGGCAGCGAGGCUCAACUACAGUAUUAAAAAUACUGCCCCCAUCUCACAACUGUUUGCUGAGGCCUAGAGGGGGACUGCAACUGGCUCAGGGUCUCACUGCUAGUUAGCUGCCCUUGGCAUCGCGCAUCCUGCCUCCAGAUUCUAUAUGAGUUCCUUCAACAAGACCAAACAAGGCCAUUCCAGGCCCAGCUCCUGGGUGAACACGGCCACCUGAAUGACCGGAUUAACCAAAGAAGACCACAGCCUCCACAAAGCUAAACAGAAUUUCUAUCACACAGCCACCUUGCAUGGAUGGCUUUGGGUCUUGCUUCUUGGGCCAACACUUUUAACUCUGUUUAACCAAAAUCUAUUUUUCCUCAUUCUGGGGCCUUGGAGAUACAGCGGAUACCCCAGCAAGAUUACCAGUCCCAACCAAAGAAGCCAACACGGUCUUCCAGGCAGAUCUCAAGACCCCUUUCUCUCAUCUGAGAUCAGAUAGGGAGAGAGUUCUG